rnacentral:rRNA from 1 species
UGAGUAACGCGUGAGCGACAACCUUGCACAGGGGAUAACGGACCGAAAGGUUCACUAAUACCGCAUGAGACCACGGUGUUGCAUGACACGAGAGGUCAAAGGAGCAAUCCGGUGCAAGACGGGCUCGCGUCCGAUUAGGUAGUUGGUGGGGUAAUGGCCCACCAAGCCUAUGAUCGGUAGCCGACCUGAGAGGUGAUCGGCCACAUUGGAACUGAGAUACGGUCCAAACCCCUACGGGAGGCAGCGAGUGGGGAAUAUUGGGCAAUUGGGGGAAACCCUGACCCAGCAACGCCGCGUGAAGGAAGAAGGUUUUCGGAUUGUAAACUUCUGUCCUUGGUGAAGAGAAGAAGACGGUAGCCAAGGAGGAAGCCCCGGCUAACUACGUGCCAGCCGCCGC